rnacentral:rRNA from 1 species
CCUACGGGAGGCAGCAGUGAGGAAUAUUGGUCAAUGGCCGGAAGGCUGAACCAGCCAAGUAGCGGGAGGGAAGACUGCCCUAUGGGUUGUAAACCUCUUUUAUGCGGGGAUAAAGGUGUCCACGUGUGGAUGUUUGCAGGUACCGCAUGAAUAAGGACCGGCUAAUUCCGUGCCAGCAGCCGCGGUAAUACGGAAGGUCCGGGCGUUAUCCGGAUUUAUUGGGUUUAAAGGGAGCGUAGGCCGGUCUUUAAGCGUGCCGGGAAAUUUUGUGGCUCAACCAUGGGAGUGCGGCGCGAACUGGAGACCUUGAGUGCGCGGAAGGCAGGCGGAAUUCGUGGUGUAGCGGUGAAAUGCUUAGAUAUCACGAAGAACCCCGAUUGCGAAGGCAGCCUGCCGCAGCGUUACUGACGCUGAAGCUCGAAAGCGCGGGUAUCGAACAGGAUUAGAUACCCGUGUAGUC